CCUACGGGGCGCACCAGUGGGGAAUAUUGCACAAUGGGCGCAAGCCUGAUGCAGCCAUGCCGCGUGUAUGAAGAAGGCCUUCGGGUUGUAAAGUACUUUCAGCGGGGAGGAAGGCGAUAAGGUUAAUAACCUUGUCGGUUGACGUUACCCGCAGAAGAAGCACCGGCUAACUCCGUGCCAGCAGCCGCGGUAAUACGGAGGGUGCAAGCGUUAAUCGGAAUUACUGGGCGUAAAGCGCACGCAGGCGGUCUGUCAAGUCGGAUGUGAAAUCCCCGGGCUCAACCUGGGAACUGCAUUCGAAACUGGCAGGCUGGAGUCUUGUAGAGGGGGGUAGAAUUCCAGGUGUAGCGGUGAAAUGCGUAGAGAUCUGGAGGAAUACCGGUGGCGAAGGCGGCCCCCUGGACAAAGACUGACGCUCAGGUGCGAAAGCGUGGGGAGCAAACAGGAUUAGAUACCCCGGUAGUC
rnacentral:rRNA from 1 species